rnacentral:lncRNA from 1 species
ACAGAGCCUAUAAGGAGGUGGCAUGUUGGCCAGGCCUGUGUCUAGGGUGCCUGGUGUUCCAGAGGAUACAGCAGAACCAAAGGUCACCAGAAAGCAGGCAGUAGAAGGAACGAGUAGAUGGAAUAUGUUCCAAGGUGUUAGAAGAGGUCACCAAGGAAGCAGGCCAGAGAGCAGGAGUCCAGGUUCAUCAGGUGCAACUGCUCAAAGCCUCCCACAGCACAGUGGCCUGCUGCCUCACAGGGACCUUACCAGCUGCUGGGUGAAAGACAAUUUCCGAGGAGUCCCUUGUGAUCAUCCAAGCUUGUGGGGGGCGGGGCGGGGGGCAGUGGGUUGGAACAGGGACAUUUCAGAGGAGAUGAAAUAAAAUAGUGAGUGACUGUAAGAGAUUGGGAGCAGUGUGGGUUUGAUGCAGUGGACAUAGGGUUAGGAUUUAGGGCAAGGAGGAAGUCAGUGUUUUUUUGUUUUUUGUUUUUUAAAACUAAGGACAGCUAGGAAAAAAAA